rnacentral:rRNA from 1 species
UACGGGGGGGGUAAGCGUUGUUCGGAAUUACUGGGCGUAAAGGGCUCGUAGGCGGCCAAUUAAGUCAGACGUGAAAUCCCUCAGCUUAACUGGGGAACUGCGUCUGAUACUGGAUGGCUUGGAUUCGGGAGAGGAAUGCGGAAUUCCAGGUGUAGCGGUGAAAUGCGUAGAUAUCGUAAGGAAGACCAGUGGCGAAGGCGGGUCUCUGGACAGUUCCUGACGCUGAGGCACGAAGGUCAGGGGAGCAAACGGG